GCAUUAGGGGAAAAAAAGAAAGUUUUAAUAAUCUUAGGAUAAAAGAAAAUGUCCCAAUUAAAAUUAAAACCCAAAAAGCCACUUGCAAACAAUCAAUAUGGAAAACUACAGUUUCAAGAAACAAUCUGUGUAGGAUGAAUGUCUUUGAUUUCCACUGCCCAAAGGGUGGUCAGAACCCACCUAAAAAGGGUCUAUGUGCAAAUUUUAAAAGACUGAGUUGAUGAAAGAUGUGAAGCAACUAAACUCUCAAACACUGUUAGGGACAGUGUGAGUUGGUACAAAGACUUUGGAAAACUAUUUGACAACACCUACUAUACUAAACAUAUGCCUACCCUUUGACCCAGCAAUUUCAUCCCUAGAUAUAUAUUCAAGAAAAACAAAUGCCCAUGUUCACCAAAAGACAUGUACAAGAAUUAACAGCCAAGAAGAGCCCCAAAAUAGAAACACAAAUGUCCAUCAGCAGGGAAGAGAUAAACUGCAGUAUAGUCACACAAUAGAAUGCUAUAAGGCAAUAAAUAAAGAACUACUGCCACAUGAAAGAACAAGUAUGAAUCAUAUACAUAAAAUCAUAAGCAAAAGAAGAUAUAAAAUAUUACACAGUGUAUGACUCCACUUUUUUGAGGUUCAAGAAUAAGCAAAAUUAAGUCAGAAUACCCUUUCUUUCCAACUGGGAAGUAGGGGGUGAUAUUGACAGGAGAAGGUAAAGAGAGUCUUCCAGAGUGUUGGAAAUGUUCGAUCUCAUCAUUUGGGUGCUGGUUAUAGAUCGUACACAUACAUCCAUGUACAUACAAAUCUGCCUAUAUACAUAAAAGUAUACAAACAUGUAUAUCCACAAAUAUAGCCACAUACACAUACAUCUGAAAACAUACACAAUCAUCUAUAUACAUACAUAUACACAAAUGUGUAUACACAUACACAGAUAUCUGCAUAUACACAGAUACAUACAUGUAUAUAUACAUAUCUACAUACACACAUACACACUAUACACAUCCACGUGUGUGCCCAUGCAUGCAUAUGUGCUCACAAGCUUUGCAUAUAUAUGUAUAUAUGCAUAUGUAGAUGCACUUUUUUAUAUACAUAUAAACUAAUGAAGUUCAAUUAAGGUUUGUGUCUUUUAUGUAUGUCAAUAAAAAUAGAAAAAGCAAAAAAUCUAUAUGAUAGGAUAUACCAAAAUUAUUCAAUCUGGCAACAAUAUGAAAUCGUAUCUAUUCAUCCAUUCAUUCAACAUGUAUUAAUGAAGUGCUGGUUUUGUAAUAGGCAAUGAUUUGAGGUUAAUAUCAGAAUGUAAGCAGCACUGUGACUGCCUAGAUACAAACCCUGGCUCCUUCAUUACUAGCUGUGUGACGUUAAUCAAGUUACUUACCUUUUCUGUAAACUGUCAAGAUACUAAUGUCAUUUACUUCAGAGAUUUGUUUCUAUGUUUAAAUGAGUUAAUAUUUGUUAAGUUCUUAGAAGUGUGUCAGGCACACAGUGAGUGCUAUUCAAGUGUUUGAUAAAUAAAGUAGGUCACAUUAGCCUCUGGUCUCCAAACAUGGACAGAAUUGAUGUGUUUACUUCUCUUCUCUGAUCAUUUCUAAUUUAGAAAACAAAAUAUAGUAAAACUAACAAAUAUUCCAAAAAUGAAUGAACAUACUGCAUUAAUCCCCAAGGUUUCCAGUUUCUCCAUCAAGUUCUGCUCCACCAUUGUUCUUAGUCCCUUAGUGAGGGAGGAGUUACUCUUCAAAGCUUUUCUUAAAUGCAUUUUGUUGUUAUUUAAUUUCUGUUCAUUUUCUCUUCCUGAAAUCAGGUUUUAAAAAUGUGUUAAAAAAUGAAUUAAGCAAAUACAUCAAAUCUCUAAGCAGAAAAUGACAAAGCACAGCUUUUAAGCAGCAAGAGUGGCCCACAGCUGUCAUUACCCAGUGGUCGGUGAAGGAAGGAAAGCAGGAGUGGCGGAACACCACUAGAGAAACAGAUAACUACACGUGGCAUGUUAACUCCUGUCAAAGACAUGUUCACUGAAGACUCUUUUGAGCUUUUCCAGGAUAUAUGUCUAGGAGAUCUUAUUGGCAUAUCCAAACAUUUCCUCUUGUGACUGCACGUAAGCAUGGUCACCUGACAGGGAACAGGCCCAUUCUCCUUUAGAGGGUGGAAUUCCACUGAACUGAGACUUCCUUUCAACAGUCUCCAUCCCACUUCUGUAACACUAUUUGGGCCGGUGGUGUCCAGUGGGGGAAGCCAUCUUUCUUUCCAUCAAGAGACACAAUACGCCAGAAGUCUGGAGCACACCACCUGUCAUGUAUUGGACAAUCAACUAUUGCUUGUGUUAAGUGUCAGUAUUUCAAGAUGUAGAAUACUUGCUGUGAGAGCAAAACAUAAUAAUUGUAAAGUCUAAUAAAAAUGUUUGUAAGUUGGGUGCA